rnacentral:lncRNA from 1 species
GGAAGCUACCGCAGUUUUGGAUCCGCCUCCAUUCUCCUCGCUUGCCUGCCGAUGAUUGGCCCAGAAAAACCUCAGAGGAGCCAUGGCAACAAAGGGCCCUGUACUUUCUAUAGAGGAGCACCCUGCCUUUGUCUGCUCCAGCCCGGUGCUCCUCUGCAAACAACAAAAGAUGUGGCCACCCGGCUGGCUUCCCCGCCCCCACUAGAGCGCUAACGGAGACUGAGGCAGGUACAGACCAGCAGACCAGGAGCAGGGCUCACAAGUGAGGUCAUGCUUAAUAAACUUGAUUAAUUUCUUUGAGCAGCAGCCUUGCAAGAGGGACAAGGGUGAAACAAGAGACAGUAAUUCAUCCUGAUUUCGAGGCGCAGGAACACAGCUACAACCAGCAGAGAUUUUUGUGAAGAUGCUGUUGGGGCCUGGAGAGUCCCCUGGGGCUCAGCCAUGGAAGCAGCAGGAAAACUUAGGGACAGGGACAUAUUUGCUCAUGAUGGCUUAGUGAAAAGGGAACCCGUACUGGGGACAGAACACAGACCCUCUGAGUCGUUGAACCAAGACACAGUCUCCUGCUUGGAUCCCUUGAAAUGCGUCCUCAGCAUUUCGGUCUGAUAACAGUAAAGAUAAUCCUAGCUGU